rnacentral:rRNA from 1 species
GGUAUUGAUUGGUGCUUGCAUCAUGAUUUACAUUUGAGUGAGUGGCGAACUGGUGAGUAACACGUGGGAAACCUGCCCAGAAGCGGGGGAUAACACCUGGAAACAGAUGCUAAUACCGCAUAACAACUUGGACCGCAUGGUCCGAGCUUGAAAGAUGGCUUCGGCUAUCACUUUUGGAUGGUCCCGCGGCGUAUUAGCUAGAUGGUGGGGUAACGGCUCACCAUGGCAAUGAUACGUAGCCGACCUGAGAGGGUAAUCGGCCACAUUGGGACUGAGACACGGCCCAAACUCCUACGGGAGGCAGCAGUAGGGAAUCUUCCACAAUGGACGAAAGUCUGAUGGAGCAACGCCGCGUGAGUGAAGAAGGGUUUCGGCUCGUAAAACUCUGU